AAAAAAAGACCGACAUGUAUCCUGAUUAGAUUACAUGAUAUCAGAAGUAAUGAACGUCCUUUUAAAAUAAGAAAUAUGAAUGAUUUGAUGAGAUAUGGUUACAUUGAAUACAGCAAGAAAAGGGAGAUUUUACUUUUCAAUGGAAACUGAGAACAUUGUAAAAAUGUGCUAAGCAUGACUAAUGAUGACAAACAGUGACUGAUACAUCAAGUGAAAUAAGAAAAUAUAAAGAUUUGAAUUGGAUGUUUAGUCUAAGAGAGGCAUGUUUUACAUUUUGUAGCACUUUUUUUUUAACUACAGGAAACAAAAGUACCAACAAAUAUGAUGGUUAAAAAUUGUUAAAUAUAUUUUGUAUUGAUAAAAGUUAAGCUGGUUUUGUGAAAAUGUUGUAUAAAAAGAUGUAAUCUUUUUCAAACAGUUUAAAAAAUAUUUUAAAAGAGUUUGCAUCUACAGAUUCCUUAUUUGAAACUUGAUGAAUAAUAAAAACAUGAAUUUCAAUGUU